rnacentral:misc_RNA from 1 species
UUUCUUGCUUCUCUGUUCAUCUGUUUCAAGGGUUUUGAAUUUGGAUUGGAAGGUUAGUGUGCUGGUGUGGUCUGUUUAUUGUUUGGGGGUUGUUUACAUGUUGAAUGGUGAUCGAAAAGGGAAGCCUUAAGGCAUCACGAUUUGAUUCAGAGUUUUCUCCUCGUAGUAGGGACAGUAUGUCGACUGAGGAUGAGGAGUUUCAGAGACGAAACGGUGGAGGUGAGGUUGAAUCUAAUGGCGAGGAUGAUGAUGAUGAUUUUGAUGAUUGUGAUUCAGGGGCAGGAUCGGACGACUUUGAUUUGUUGGAAUUAGGGGAGUCUAAGGAGGAGUUUUGUCAAAUUGGG